rnacentral:rRNA from 1 species
CCAUGAGGGAAAUAUGAAAAGGACUUUGAAAAGAGAAUUAAAUGAGUUUGUAUUUGCUGAACAGAAAAUAAACAGAUUUGAUGUUGCUUGGUGAGAUUGUGGUGCUUGCUUGACAAUAGGUUUUGAUUGUGGGUGCGAUGAUUCUUGCUUUGCUUGCCAGUUUCUAUUUGUACAUUUGAUUACCCUUGCACAUGAAUGGUAAUUUUCCUGCGGGGUUUGGAUUGCAUGUGUUUGUGAUGAUUUGUGUUUUGAUGCAUGUGUCUGGUGCUUUUGUAAUUGCUCAUUUCUUGAAGCUGGGCCUACCCUACUAGAGCUUACAAGCCCUGGCACACAAUUGCUGGCAAAAUGCUUCUGCUUGACCCGUCUUGAAACACGGACCAAGGAGUCUAACAGAUGUGCAAGCUUGAGGGUUGCAUACCUUUGUGCGCAAUGAAAGUGUUGGCUGGGAUAUUUGCACCAGCAGCCGACCAAUUAGCAGACAGAGGUUCGAGUUGGAGCAUAUCUAUUAGGACCCGAAAGAUGGUGAACUAUGCCUGAACAGAAUGAAUUCAGAGGAAACUCUGAU